rnacentral:tRNA from 1 species
GGUUUUAUAGUAAAUAAAAAACGUCAAAUUGCAAAUUUGAAAAUGUGUAAAACACUAAAACUU